UACGUAGGGGGCGAGCGUUGUCCGGAUUCAUUGGGCGUAAAGAGCUCGUAGGCGGUUUGGCAAGUCGGGUGUGAAAUCUCUGGGCUCAACUCAGAGAGGCCACUCGAUACUGCUAUGACUAGAGUCCGGUAGGGGACCAUGGAAUUCCUAGUGUAGCGGUGAAAUGCGUAGAGAUGUGGAGGAACACCAGUGGCGAAGGCGACUUUCUGGUCUGUAACUGACACUGAGGCGCGAAAGCGUGGGGAGCGAACAGG
rnacentral:rRNA from 1 species